CCUACGGGGGGCAGCAGUAAGGAAUCUUGGUCAAUGGACGAAAGUCUGAACCAGCCAAGCCGCGUGAAGGAUGACUGCCCUCUGGGUUGUAAACUUCUUUUAUAUGGGAAUAAAACUGGGUAUGUAUCUUCUCAUGUAUGUACUAUACGAAUACGGAUCGGCUAACUCCGUGCCAGCAGCCGCGGUACUACGGAGGAUCCGAGCGUUAUCCGGAUGUAUUGGGUUUAAAGGGAGCGUAGGUGGAUUGGUAAGUUAGUUGUGAAAGGUCAGGGCUCAACCGUGAAAUUGCAGUUGAAACUGGCAGUCUUGAGUGCAGAAGAGGUAGGUGGAAUUCGUGGUGUAGCGGUGAAAUGCGUAGAGAUCAGGAAGAACACCGAUUGCGAAGGCAGCUUACUGGUCUGUAACUGACGCUGAUGCUCGAAAGUGUGGGGAUCAAACAGGAUUAGAUACCCUAGUAGUC
rnacentral:rRNA from 1 species